rnacentral:rRNA from 1 species
UACGUAGGCAGCAAGCGUUGUUCGGAAUUACUGGGCGUAAAGAGUGUGUAGGCGGUGCUCUAAGUCUGUUGUGAAAUCUCCCGGCUUAACUGGGAGGGUGCGGCGGAGACUGGAGUGCUAGAGUGUGGGAGAGGUAAGCGGAAUUCCUGGUGUAGCGGUGAAAUGCGUAGAUAUCAGGAGGAACACCUGUGGUGUAGACAGCUUACUGGACCACGACUGACGCUGAGACACGAAAGCGUGGGUAGCAAAUGGG